rnacentral:rRNA from 1 species
GAUGAACGCUAGCUACAGGCUUAACACAUGCAAGUCGAGGGGCAGCAUGAACUUAGCUUGCUAAGUUUGAUGGCGACCGGCGCACGGGUGAGUAACACGUAUCCAACCUGCCGAUGACUCGGGGAUAGCCUUUCGAAAGAAAGAUUAAUACCCGAUGGCAUAGUUCUUCCGCAUGGUAGAACUAUUAAAGAAUUUCGGUCAUCGAUGGGGAUGCGUUCCAUUAGGUUGUUGGCGGGGUAACGGCCCACCAAGCCUUCGAUGGAUAGGGGUUCUGAGAGGAAGGUCCCCCACAUUGGAACUGAGACACGGUCCAAACUCCUACGGGAGGCAGCAGUGAGGAAUAUUGGUCAAUGGACGAGAGUCUGAACCAGCCAAGUAGCGUGAAGGAUGACUGCCCUAUGGGUUGUAAACUUCUUUUAUACGGGAAUAAAGUGAGGCACGUGUGCCUUUUUGUAUGUACCGUAUGAAUAAGGAUCGGCUAACUCCGUGCCAGCAGCCGCGGU